ACAUGACUGAAGUGACUUAGCAUGGACCAUAUAGAAUGGAGGAAGUUGUCCUAAAGCAGAAGAUGCCUGAGGCUUGAAGGAUAAGUAGAGAGUUAGAGGGUGAGGAAAAGACAUUCCAGGCAAGGAGGGGAAACCCAAGCAAAAGUCCAGAGGUACAAAAGAAAAGACAAAUCUAACAUAUAUUUGGAGGCGCUGCAGAAGGAAUUCCUCCCCUCGCGAUCAAAAUAGUCAGGGAAAAAUCCAUCUACUUUGGCCUCUUUCAAGCACUCUAGUACAAGUUGUGGGGAAACAGGGACAUGUCUCUCUGAACUUGGUACUUGAUCAGGUGCCAUAGAAAGCCACCUGAUGGAGGGCUGCUGAAACCCUGGGGAAAUCAUUAUUCAAAUCCACUUCACCUGCCUUCACUAAUCCAGGUCAUCUACAAAAAACCUGCAUGUCCUCCAAGAGGCACGGAGCCUAAACAAGAAGAGAUUUGCCUAAACAAGUUGUUUUCCAGGAGUUGGAGUCAGCUGUGUCUAGUUGAAGCUGAGCUGGUUAAGACUGGAUAGGCCCACGACCCUCCAACUGGGCAUGCGUGAGUGUCUGCUUUGUGACCUUUCAUCAGCCAAGGGCUGAAAACUCCACCCUCAGUUUGUGUUAAGUGCCUCCAUUUUAGAACGUGCAGAGCCCUGGAGCUCAGUUACACCUGAGCAAAACCAGGAUUACCGCACCUUUUCCCAUCCUUUCCCCAUGCUCCCCAUGAUUAUUUGUUAUCCCAUAAAUACCCCAACUCCCCAGCAGCUUGUUUUUCUAGGAGGCACACUUGAGAUGCACUCCUCAGUCUUCUCGCUCGGCUGCCUUAAGAACAAGCUCUCUCUCUGCUGCACACGUUGGGGGUCUCAGCGAUUUUGCUUGCUAAGUGCUAGACAAAAGGAGGGCACCCUGUCACCUCGUCCUUCCACACCCACCUCCACCAUAGAGCAACUGGGUUCUGGUCAAAAGGCUACUUGGGUGUCUACCUACAGAUCCUAAACCACAAGAAGCCGAAAGUAAAGGGGUUACUUGGGGCUACCUGAAGAUGCUUAUAGGAAUAGAGGGACCCAGGAAAAUAUGUUAAUUUCUUCUGUGGGAUGAACUGAAGACUCAGAUGAGUUGAGUUUUAAGUGGAGGAAAAAAAGCUGGGGGAGGGGAAGAGACUCACUUUGCUUGUCUGCUUUAUUUUCUUAUCUCCAUUUCAGUAAGGUUUUCUUGAGGUUUUAUCUUUUUCUUUCCUUUGAAACACAUUCUUUUUUUUUUUUUCCUUUUACCUGAGUGGGGGGUUUCUGCACAAUAUAUGAAACAGCCACCUCUCCUGAUCUUGAAAAAUUGGUCUUGCGUAGGAGAUUGAAACUUCUUGUUCAAACCUGCUCUAGCUUUGGGUUGUUUCCCAAACCUUUGGGAUUGUCCAAGCAGCCGUGUUUGUUUUUAGUGGUUCCCAGUGGUGGAGACUGUGCUGAAACCUAUCAGUGUCUCCCAGGGUGGCAAGGAACCUUAGUCAGCACCUAGAUUUCAGCUGGUAGGAACCCAGACCCUCAGUCAGCAGCUUUAAAGUGUGUCAGUACUUCACAGUGAAAUGUAGACAGUGCUGUGGGAGUGCAAGCACAAGCCCAGCUGGCCAAGAGAGCCAGGUGAUCUGGAGGUGUCUGCUGGACGACAGCGUAAAACCAGGACAGCAGACGAAGGGCUUCGUGGAAAAUGGAAAAGAAACAAGAGUAGAGGGGACACAUGAAAUAAAGAUUCCAUGAUGACCUUGUGAUUCCCACCAAGAGCCCAGCACGUUCUUUCCCGACUGCCUCUCAGGCACAGAUCUCCCACUCCUAAGUGUGAUAGAAGCAGGGAAAAGGCAGACCUGGGCUCUGUUUACUGCAGUUCCCUUGGGCCACAGGGUUGCACAACACCACUUACAUUGUAUGAAUUUGCUCAUGGAAAUUCAAGGUGAAUGGAAUCUCUUGGAGUUGCAUAAUCCUGCAACCUUUCUUCUGAGCUAAAUUUGCUUACAGAUGAAAUGGGGAUAAUAAUAGCCAUAUCUUGCAGGGCUGUUGUGAAAGCUGAGUUAAGCCGAGCACAGUAAAUGCUGCACAGUAACCACUCUGAAAACGACAGCCGGGGUUCCAUGGCUAGUGAUAGGGAUGGAGAGAAGGCAAGCUUGGGCUUGUGCAAGAUCUGAUGUAGUUGGGGCGUCAUUGCUUCAGUUUUUCACAGCCCAUUCUCCUUUGCCCUGGGAGAUGUCCAUGAUCAAAGCCUGCCACGAUGCUGCACCCAGACUGAGAUUGUUAUGCGACUUACUGACC